rnacentral:rRNA from 1 species
ACUUACCGCUUARCAUCGAGUGUUAAAUAUGCUAGUCCUUUCAUGAUUAUGUGAUAGGUGGUGCAUGGCCGUUCUUAGUUCGUGGAGUGAUCUGUCUGCUUAAUUGCGUUUCACUAAGGGCCCAUAAAUUCAAGGUAUGUUAGCUCUCGUCGCUCUAUGGACCCCUUAACUCCAAUAUUCUUAUUGUGUUAAG